GCCUGAUGGAGGGGGAUAACUACUGGAAACGGUAGCUAAUACCGCAUAACGUCGCAAGACCAAAGAGGGGGACCUUCGGGCCUCUUGCCAUCGGAUGUGCCCAGAUGGGAUUAGCUAGUAGGUGGGGUAACGGCUCACCUAGGCGACGAUCCCUAGCUGGUCUGAGAGGAUGACCAGCCACACUGGAACUGAGACACGGUCCAGACUCCUACGGGAGGCAGCAGUGGGGAAUAUUGCACAAUGGGCGCAAGCCUGAUGCAGCCAUGCCGCGUGUAUGAAGAAGGCCUUCGGGUUGUAAAGUACUUUCAGCGGGGAGGAAGGGAGUAAAGUUAAUACCUUUGCUCAUUGACGUUACCCGCAGAAGAAGCACCGGCUAACUCCGUGCCAGCAGCCGCGGUAAUACGGAGGGUGCAAGCGUUAAUCGGAAUUACUGGGCGUAAAGCGCACGCAGGCGGUUUGUUAAGUCAGAUGUGAAAUCCCCGGGCUCAACCUGGGAACUGCAUCUGAUACUGGCAAGCUUGAGUCUCGUAGAGGGGGGUAGAAUUCCAGGUGUAGCGGUGAAAUGCGUAGAGAUCUGG
rnacentral:rRNA from 1 species